UGAUUUUGAAACAAAGAAGAAGGGUUCUAUUGAGAGCUUGAGGGAAUACAAAACAUCCAAGUAGAUUCUAGAUGACAUGCGAGGUAUAAAUGGAUCCUUUUCUUUGUUUUAUUUUUUAAAAUGAUAAUAAUAAGGAAUGGGGAGAUACAGGGGAUUGAAUUUCUGCCAUCUUACACAAUGAGACUGGCCUAAUGACAAGUAAAAAAAUUGUAUCUUAUAUUAUUGUUAUUUUUUUAUGGCUUCUGGUGUAGAAUGUAGGUAAAGGCUUCAUGUAGGCUGAUUGCUAGCUGUAUUUUUAACUUAAAGAGGUGAGCACUGAGCAGGCUCUUGGAGUGGUGAUGCUAAAUUUAGUAGUUGAUGUACCGAAUACUAUGGUAUAUAAAAAUUUUUUUUUCCCGUUUUUCUUGCGGGGGAUUCUUAAAAAAAAAAAAAAAAAAAAAA
rnacentral:misc_RNA from 1 species